GCAAGUCGAACGUGAACUGGAGCUUGCUCCAGUGGAAAGUGGAGACGGGUGAGUAACGCGUGGGAACCUACCAGUAGUACGGAACAACAGUUGGAAACGACUGCUAAUACCGUAUACGUCCUUCGGGAGAAAGAUUUAUCGCUAUGGAUGGGCCCGCGUGGAUUAGCUUGUUGGUGAGGUAAUGGCUCACCAAGGCGAGAUCCAUAGCUGGUCUGAGAGGAUGAUCAGCCACACUGGGACUUAACACGGCCAACUCCUACGGAGGCAGCAGUGGGGAAUAUUGCACAAUGGGCGCAAGCCUGAUGCAGCCAUGCCGCGUGAGUGAAGAAGGCCCUAGGGUUGUAAAGCUCUUUCGGCGGGGACGAUAAUGACGGUACCCGCAGAAGAAGCCCCGGCUAACUCCGUGCCAGCAGCCGCGGUAAUACGGAGGGGGCUAGCGUUGUUCGGAAUUACUGGGCGUAAAGCGCGCGUANGCGGAUCUUUAAGUCAGGGGUGAAAUCCCGGGGCUCAACCUCGGAACUGCCCUUGAUACUGGAGAUCUUGAGUCCGGAAGAGGUUAGUGGAAUUCC
rnacentral:rRNA from 1 species